AUAGAAAUAUAAAUAUAGUAAUAAAAUAGAAAAAACAGACAAGUAUGUGUAUGUGAUGCAAAAGGUAAAAUUAAAAACAAGGCUAGAAUGUGUGAACGUUAACUUUGAGUUCUACAACUAGGAGCAAAAUGCUUUGAACAUGGACUACGGUAGUCCAUACUCGAGGGAACAGUAACAUGAUCUGUGGCUGCCGGAGCUUGGCAAGUGAAACAGUGGUGUGAGAGUUGAUGGUGGAGCGGCAAUGUGACAUUUUUGUGUUGUUACCUUACGUGUGCCGCUACGGGUCACCUUUUGUGUUUUUACGUAUGGUGUGUUUAUGGAAAUGUAUUUAAGAUAAACGUAACUCAAGCCAGGUGUUUUUGGUCAGAACAAGCAAACGGUUUGUAAACUCUGCACUGUUAUGAUAAAUGACAUUGGAUAAAGAGAAGCAAAUAAAACUGAUGAAUACAAAAACAAUCUUAACUGUACAACACAAGCAUAGCUUGAGUUGUUACAAGUUUAAUUCAUAACAGUUACAUUGCCUCAUCCCUGCCAUCAAACACUUCAGUGGCUUCAAGUGUAGACAUAGCCUCUACAGGUACUGCAACAGAGGGAGAGCAGAGUCAGGAGGGUCUUGGAAGAAGUUCAGAAAAGAUCCAAAGAGGCAGUCUGAACAGUCUUACUUGUUUGCAGGUGGAGUAAUGCACGAAUGGAUAAAAAAGAGUGAGAAGUUAUCAGCUGUUUAGGAGCAAAUGGAGAUCCGUGUCCAGGGGAGUGAGGCUAUUGCGAGUGUGAAAGGUUGUCCAGGAAGUAACUAAGAAGACAUGCACAGAGAGGUUGGAGACAAUGCAGAGAAGCCUUCAGUGGGCAAGAGGAAGACUGAUCAAUGUAACUGCAGCAGAUCAACUUCUGCGUGACUUGGCUGAAUUGAUUCAGGAGGUCGAACUGUCUACUCAGCAUGGCCAACAAGGCUGUUUUGGAUACCAGGCACCAGUGGUUUUCCACAGAGAGGUAGAUCCCUUUACCUUAUCACUCGGGAACAGCUUUCAUUCCUGAAGUCAUGUGGAUUCACUGCACCUCAGAAGGCUGAUAUUUUGAAUGUUUCACUUCGUACAAUUCGAAGACGUCUGCGACAGUAUCAUUUCACCCGUGCAUCAAUGUAUGCGGAACUGACUGACAGUGCCUUGGAUGAACAUGUGCAGGACAUUGUUGCUGGCAAUGAACAAAUUGGUCCUGAAGCUGUCAGAGCCUCCCUGCGAGUACGUGGACUACGUGUACAGCGAAGGAGGGUUCGAGCAAGCAUGUUACGGAUAAAUCCUGGAGCAGCUGCCCUUAGAGCAUUCUUGCGGAGACCAGAACGAAGAACAUAUCAGGUUGCAGGUCCAAACUCAUUGUGGCACAUUGAUAGAAAUCACAAGCUGAUAAGGUGGAGGAUAGUCGUUCAUGGGGCUAUUGAUGGAUACAGUCAUCUUGUGGUCUUCCUUCAUGCCUCAAACAACAACCAUAGCAGUACCGUUUUGUCAAGUUUCAUCAGAGCUGUGGUAUCCUAUGGUGUACCCUCGAGGGUUUGGACAGACAGAGGAGGGGAAAACAAUGCUGUCUGCCUGAUGAUGAACAUUUUCAGAGGCUUUAAUCGUGGAAAUGCCCUAAGUGGAAGGAGUACCCAUAAUCAGAGAAUUGAGAGGCUCUGGGGUGAUCUGUGGCGAGGAAUGACCAAUGUGUACUGUCACUUGGUGUUCGCUCACUCUGUGGUAGAGUAUCACUUCCUGUUCCUGCUCAAA